AUUUUGAAUGAAUAAAGAGGGAAGGGAAGGGGUGCGGGAAGGGAAGGAAGAAAGGUGAAAUAAGACAAGAUGAGCAAGUACCACCUGCUGUGUCGGGCACAUCCAUGCAAUGUCUCAUGAAGUAGCCCAACAAGCUGGGACUGGGGCACUUUGACCUCUAUUUUGCACCUCAGUUUCCUCAUCUGGAAAAUAGAAAUAGAAAUCAUCUGGACCCCAUAAGCCCGCUGUGAGGAUGGAAUGGACGGAUGUCUGGAAAAAUCCACGCGACGCUCCCGACACCCAGAAACUACUAGCUGGCCACCAGCUACCCACACUGAUGGGCCAGAGGGGAGGUCGGUGAGCGGAAGCCUGUGGCUUUGAAAGGCAUUCACCCUUCAUUUGAAGAGAUGCUCUCAUCCCAACUCGGUGCUUUUGCUGUACAACAGGUAUAAAAUUCCAUCUCAUUACACAGAGUUCUUGUAAGGAUAAAGCAACAGUUAAUGUGACCAUUUCUUUGGAAACGAUGACUGGUUAAUGUGUUAUUAUUGUCACUAGCAGCCUGUCACCAGCAGCCUGUCCCCAGGUGU
rnacentral:lncRNA from 1 species